UAAAAGUUUGGUCCUAGCCUUACCAUUAAUUAUUACUAUGCUUACACAUGCAAGUAUCUGCACUCCCGUGAAAAUGCCCUCUACUGCCAAUGAGCACAAUAGGAGCGGAUAUCAGGCACUUAUUUCGCCAAAGACGUCUUGUUCAACCACACCCCCAAGGGAACUCAGCAGUGAUUAACAUUGAAUAAUAAGCGACACAAGCUUGAUUCAGCAAUAGUUAAUAGAGUUGGUAAAUCUCGUGCCAGCCACCGCGGUUAUACGAGAAACUCAAAUUAAUUACACCGGCCCAAAGGGUGGUAAAAUGAAAAUCAAAUAGGAUUAAAAACUAACUCCGCUGUCGCACGCAAUAGUUAAAAAAAAUACAACAUCGAAAGUAAUCCUAUUAAAUAAGCAUAAAUCCACGACAGCUAGGAGACAAACUGGGAUUAGAUACCCCACUAUGCCCAGCUAUAAACUUUGAUUUAUCCGCCAGAGUACUACGAGCAACAGCUUAAAACUCAAAGGACUUGGCGGUGCUCUACACCCCCCUAGAGGAGCCUGUUCUAUAAUCGAUAAUCCACGAUAACCUCACCAUUUUUUGCUAAUCCAGCCUAUAUACCACCGUCCAGCCCACCCUUUAAAGGAAUAACAGUAGGCUCAACUAUAAACAUAAAAACGUCAGGUCAAGGUGUAGCAGAUAAAAUGGAAAGAAAUGGGCUACAUUUUCUAAUAUAGAAAAAUACGGAAAAGUUUGUGAAAAAAAACUAUAAAGGAGGAUUUAGUAGUAAAAAGAAAAAAGAAUGUUCUUUUUAAACCGGCAAUGGAGCGCGCACACACCGCCCGUCACCCUCUUUAAACCAUACAACUAGUACAUAAACAAAAUAAAAGAAAAAGAAGAGGCAAGUCGUAACAUGGUAAGCUUACCGGAAGGUGAGCUUGGAACAU
rnacentral:ncRNA from 1 species